GAUGAAGAACGCAGUGAAAUGCGAUAAGUAAUGUGAAUUGCAGAAUUCAGUGAAUCAUCGAAUCUUUGAACGCACAUUGCGCCCCUUGGUAUUCCGGGGGGCAUGCCUGUUCGAGCGUCAUUAUAACCCUCAAGCCUAGCUUGGUGUUGGAGCAUGCUAUCUAGCAGCUCUUAAAAUCAGUGGCAGUGCCCUUCGGCUCUAAGCGUAGUAACUUCUCUCGCUAUGGAAACCGGAUGGUACGCGCCAAAACCCCCAACUUUCUAUGGUUGACCUCGGAUCAGGUAGAGAUACCCGCUGAACUUAAGCAUAUCAAUAAGCGGAGGA
rnacentral:misc_RNA from 1 species